rnacentral:rRNA from 1 species
AACGCUUGAAUACAUUAGCAUGGAAUAAUGAAUAGGACGUUCGAUCCUAUUUCGUUGGUUUUCUUAGGAUUGACGUAAUGAUUAAUAGGGAUAUUGGGGGCAUUAGUAUUCAAUUGUCAGAGGUGAAAUUCUUUGGAUUUAUUGAAGACUAACUACUGCGAAAGCAUUUUGCCAAGGAUGUUUUCAUUAAUCAAGAACGAAAGUUAGGGGCUCGAAGACGAUCAGAUACCGUCGUAGUCUUAACCAUAAACUAUGCCGACUAGGGAUCGGAUGAUGUUAAUUUUUAAUGACUCAUUCGGCGCCUUACG